ensembl:ncRNA ZK836.6 ncRNA
UGAGUAAAAUGUAUAGAAAGAGUUGGUUUCCUUUUCUUCUUUCUAUCCACAUCUUCUUUAGAAGGGUGGAGUCUUGAAGAAAGAGAGAUAGACACAUAUGUCUUUUGGCCCAAUUCCAAUGGUCCCUUAAUGCAA